rnacentral:lncRNA from 1 species
UUUUGUAUUUAUCCCAAUAUAUAAGUGGUUUUCCUGCAUAUAGUCCAUAACCUGUACAUGUAUAUAUAUCGGCCUAUGGCUUCAUGGGAAUACAAGUUGCUUAUUCCUAACAACUCCUAUGUCAUUAUACUAAAGGUUUUAACUUCAUAGAGGGUUAAUGUGCACUAGUGCGUUAAUACUAAGGUUUUUAACUUGAAAGAUCAAAUUUUAAUUAAUCUGGUCUAAAGGUAGCUUCUGCUGAGGCUUUCUUUAUGUUCUUGUAUUUUCAGUAAUACCAUGGGAUUAACUGAUGUUUUCUUAUCUACAAGAUCAAUGUUGACAAUUGGUUUUAUAAAAAAGGGGUUUGAAAAAUAUCAACUUGUAAUUUUAAUUGAUAGUAGUUACUAGCCCAUAUGCCUGUGCGUUGCAACGGGGAGAAAAAGUACUGUAUGUUCCUAGUAUAAUAAGCAUUGCUCAAGACUCUCUAUUGAUCUACAUCCUUUAUUUCAACAUGGCGUCUCACCUGUGUCACAACUUAUACUCUUUUUCACACUCGUCGAUAGUGGUUGUGGUGUUCAUCUAAUUAUAAUAUGUUCAUGCGUUGUCAACCCCAAGAUGAUGAGCUCGAACACGACACAGCACAAUGCUCUCCCAGUCCAGCACCAUCAUCCACAUGCUGCCCUCACCUCCAGCAUCUUCUUCCCAUCUGAN